UUUACUUUAUUGGGUAUAUUUUUUGUAUUCCUAUAUUCUUGAGCUUUGUUCUGGAACACAAUUAAGUUACUUUGAAACAGUUGUGUUCCAGUUUGGUCUUGUUUUUAAGCUUUCUGAGUUGGGACCAGGGGUAGUUUUUAUGUAGAGUUAAUUUUUCUACUACUAGGGCAUCUUAGUUCUCUUCCAAUGCCACCUAGAUUACAAGGUUUUCCACUGUGACUGUUGAUAACAGGCACUAUUUUCCACUCCAAACACUGUUCCCUCUAAUUCUUUUGGGUGAGUUUCCUCACCGGCAUGCACUAUUAGUGUGUAACUAAAUAUCUGAUGGAAACUCUCUGCAGAUCUUAGUUCUCCUGCUGUGCAACUCUCUCCUCCAAGGCAUUCUCCCCUGUGAACUCUAGUCAUUUCGACUGCCCAACUGCACCUCAACUCCAGGAGACCGCCAGGUCCUGAUGGGGUAACCCUUCCUAGAACCACGGACUCUCCGCAGAUAGUACUUAAGAAGGAAAACUAACAGGACAGAUAAGUUUUAGGAAAUAACUACCUUACUCUAGCAAAAUACCACACACAAAAAAAGGGGACCCACCCACACCAGACAACGUCACAGGCUGAAAACUUUCACCAUCCAGCCUAACAUGGCCUGCUCCCUAUCCCACGGUGCCAUUAGGGUGCUCCUCCUACUUCCAGCAGAAAGGCCUCAGCAGAGGUCCCGAGGACAGCGACAGGAGGAAACCUGGAUCUCCAUCCUCACCAGGCAGUAACGAGGCAGUGCCCCAUCCCAUACCAGCACCGUCAGAGGAAGCAUGCUGAGAGAUUUAAAUAACUCCCAGAGCUUCAUAACAGUGAAGAUGACCAGGAUACAGCCAAAGUCACUCAUCAUAACAAGAACUAGGACAUUGUAAACUUGAAUGAGAAAAAACCUCAAGGGAUGUCAACACUAAGAUGACACAGAUGUUGAAACUUUAUGACAAUUUUUUUUUUUUUUUUGGAGACAAGGUCUCACUCUGCCACCCAGGCUGGAGUGGCAUGAACAAGGCUCACUGCAGCCUCAACCUCCUGCAAUCAAAUGAUCCUCCCACUUCAGCCUCCUAUGUAGCUGGGACUACAGGCAUACACCACCAUGUGUGUCUAACUUUUAAAUUUACUUUUACUUUUUGUAGAGAUGAGGUCUCACUUUGUUGCCUAGGCUGAUCUCAAACUCCUGGGCUGAAGCAAUCCUCCUGCCUCACCUUCACAAAGUGCUGGGGUUAUAGGCGUGAGCCACCACACCUACCUGAUGACAAAGAUUUUAAAGCAGCCACCAUAAAAAUGCUUCAGU
rnacentral:lncRNA from 1 species